AUUGAACGCUGGCGGCAGGCCUAACACAUGCAAGUCGAGCGAGCGGCGGACGGGUGAGUAAUGUCUGGGAAACUGCCUGAUGGAGGGGGAUAACUACUGGAACCGGUAGCUAAUACCGCAUACCAUCAGAUGUGCCCAGAUGGGAUUAGCUAGUAGGUGGGGUAACGGCUCACCUAGGCGACGAUCCCUAGCUGUUCUGAGAGUAUGACCAGCCACACUGGGACUGAGACACGGCCCAGACUCCUACGGGAGGCAGCAGUGGGGAAUAUUGCACAAUGGGCGCAAGCCUGAUGCAGCCAUGCCGCGUGUGUGAAGAAGGCCUUAGGGUUGUAAAGUACUUUCAGCGGGGAGGCGUUACCCGCAGAAGAAGCACCGGCUAACUCCGUGCCAGCAGCCGCGGUAAUUC
rnacentral:rRNA from 1 species